rnacentral:misc_RNA from 1 species
AACGCAUAUUGCACUCUCUGGUAAUCCGGGGAGUAUGCCUGUUUGAGGGUCAGUAAAUAAUAAUUAUCAUAAUCUUUUGAUUGUGGAAUUGGGCCUUUAUUUCAUUUUAAUGAUUUAUGGCCUCAAAUUUACGUUACCGCUUGUUUAAUAUGAAAUUCGACCGAAUGGAGCAAUUAAACAAUUCUCUCGUUAGGCGGAUUCUCAUCAAGCAAUUACGAUUUUUUGGCCGUCGAAGGACUUUUACAAGUGCUUGGCCGAGAUCGUGAGUUUUUUAACAAAUGACCUCAAAUCAGGCAAGAAUACCCGCUGAACUUAA